CUCAAACUCCCAACCUCAGGUGGAUCACGAGGUCAGGAGUUCAAGACCAGCCUGGCCAAGAUGGUAAAACCUCGUCUCUACUAAAAAUACAAAAAUUAGCCAGGUGUGGUGGCAGGCUCCUGUAAUCCCAGCUACUCAGGAGGCUGAGGCAGAGAAUUGCUUGAACCCGGGAGGCAGAGUUUGCAGUGAGCCAAGAUCACACCACUGCACUCCAGCUUGGACGACAGAGCGAGACUCUGUCUCAAAAAAUAAUAGGCCAGGCAUGGUGGCUCAACGUCUGUAAUCCCAGCACUUUGGGAGGCCGAGGCGGGCAGAUCACAAGGUCAGGAGUUCGAGACCAGCCUGACGACCAACAUGGUGAAACCUCGUCUCUACUAAAAAUACAAAAAUUAGCCAGGCCUGGUGGCACGCGCCUGUAAUCCCAGUUACACAGAAGACUGAGGCAGGAGAAUCGCUUGAACGCAGGAGGCAGAGGUUGCAGGAGCUGAGAUCGCGCCAUUGCACUCCAGCCUGGGCAACAGAGUGAGACUCUGUCUCAAAAAAUAAUAAUAAAAUAAAUGAACACACAUGCUGCUGAGUCCGCAGGGGGGGCAGAGCAGAGGACAGCGUGCUUUUGUGUACUGUUGGAAGACUGGCUCCUCCUGUACAGCACCUCUGAGCCCUUGUGCACCGCCCUGCCACGGGCACCAUCCAGUCCUGGCCGUGUGACCACCCACAGCUGACUGGGCAGCAGGCACAGGCCCUACCCGAGCAGGCCGGAGUUGGCUCGCAUGACUCCAGCUGAGGCUGCCUGUGUACAUUUCUCCAGAUACCCUAUGGCUAAUUUUGUUAUAACUGCACAGUGGCUGCUGCCAUUUUGUAUUAAAUAUAUUGUGAAACAAACCUAUCUGGGGAGAAGCAAUCUACUUGCCGCUGCUUCCUGUCUGGAUCCAGCUUGUGUCCUUGGAGAGUGGCUGGCCCAGGUCCUAUUCCUGUCCUCCAGCCCGUUCUUUCAUGAGGGACAGGAAGGUAAAAUCAGCCCUUAGGAGAGAGGUCUCAGCCUCCCUUUCCCAGAUCUCCCAGUGAGUUUUAAAGGAAGCAGGGAGCCCAGAGUGCUAAGUUCUUACAGCCAGAAGGAAGCUUAUAGAUUUCUGAAAACCGCCCCUUUGUUUUUAAAAAGAUCAACACAAUUUGACUUUCUCAAGGUCAAAACGAACUAGAAUCCAGAUCUGCUCAUGGCAAAAAUGGGGGUGUUCUGAGAAUUCCAGCUUUGGGCCGCACUGUACAGCAGUCUGGAUAGAGUGUGAUCUGAGAAGGGAAUGGGUCUGGGUUGUUCCACCCCUUCCGAGUUCCAAAAAGAGGGAACUGGUUUUCUUGGUUCUCAGCCCAGCAGCACCUAUCCUGGCUCUUGGUCCUGGCCUGCAGCCAAGUGCUGUUCCUAGCCUGAGGCUUGAGACAGGUGGGGUUGGCUCCUCACCAACCCCAGUUCCGUCCCAUCCUGAGGGCAAGAUCCUGGGCUCAUAGGCAGUCCCUUUCACUUCCUUGUCUUGCUCCCUGCUAUGUUGGAGAUGAAUGUGACUAAAAGGGCCAUCUUGCUGGCUUAAUGUGUGGCUGGAGAGACCAGCCUGGAGACAAUGUGGCAAAAUGGGGCGCUUCAUCCAGUCUGUCUAAGCCCUGUCGACUUGGGGAGGUGAUUUCUUUCCUGGUUCUAUAUGUGAAGCAAAAUAAAUGUUUUAAAAUUAAAA
rnacentral:lncRNA from 10 species